rnacentral:rRNA from 1 species
GGACCUGACUGCUAUCGGAUUGAUANUAAGCCAUGCGAGUCAUUGUAGCAAUACAAGGCAGACGGCUCAGUAACGCGUAGUCAACCUACCCUAUGGACGGGAAUAACCUCGGGAAACUGAGUAUAAUGCCCGAUAGAACAUUAUACCUGGAAUGGUUUAUGUUCCAAAUGAUUUAUCGCCGUAGGAUGGGACUGCGGCCUAUCAGUUUGUUGGUGAGGUAAUGGCCCACCAAGACUAUUACAGGUACGGGCUCUGAGAGGAGUGGCCCGGAGAUGGGUACUGAGACACGGACCCAGGCCCUAUGGGGCGCAGCAGGCGAGAAAACUUUGCAAUGUGCGAAAGCACGACAAGGUUAAUCCGAGUGGUUUCUGCUAAAGGAACCUUUUGUCAGUCCUAGAAACACUGAUGAAUAAGGGGUGGGCAAGUUCUGGUGU